rnacentral:rRNA from 1 species
GUAGGGUGCGAGCGUUAAUCGGAAUUACUGGGCGUAAAGCGUGCGCAGGCGGUUUAGUAAGACAGGCGUGAAAUCCCCGGGCUCAACCUGGGAACUGCGCUUGUGACUGCUAAGCUAGAGUACGGCAGAGGGGGUGGAAUUCCACGUGUAGCAGUGAAAUGCGUAGAGAUGUGGAGGAACACCAAUGGCGAAGGCAGCCCCCUGGGUCGAUACUGACGCUCAUGCACGAAAGCGUGGGUAGCAAACAGGAUUAGAUACCCUGGUAGUCCACGCCCUAAACGAUGUCAACUAGGUGUUGGGAGGGUAAAACCUUUUAGUACCGGAGCUAACGCGUGAAGUUGACCGCCUGGGGAGUACGGCCGCAAGGUUA